AUUGAACGCUGGCGGCAGGCUUAACACAUGCAAGUCGAGCGGGGGAAGGUAGCUUGCUACUGGACCUAGCGGCGGACGGGUGAGUAAUGCUUAGGAAUCUGCCUAUUAGUGGGGGACAACAUCUCGAAAGGGAUGCUAAUACCGCAUACGUCCUACGGGAGAAAGCAGGGGAUCUUCGGACCUUGCGCUAAUAGAUGAGCCUAAGUCGGAUUAGCUAGUUGGUGGGGUAAAGGCCUACCAAGGCGACGAUCUGUAGCGGGUCUGAGAGGAUGAACCGCCACACUGGGACUGAGACACAGCCAAGACUCCUACGGGAGGCAGCAGUGGGGAAUAUUGGACAAUGGGGGGAACCCUGAUCCAGCCAUGCCGCGUGUGUGAAGAAGGCCUUAUGGUUGUAAAGCACUUUAAGCGAGGAGGAGGCUACUUUAGUUAAUACCUAGAGAUAGUGGACGUUACUCGCAGAAUAAGCACCGGCUAACUCUGUGUCAGCAGCCGCAGUAA
rnacentral:rRNA from 1 species